GCUCCUCGCAUCAGCACCGGAAUGUAAUGUAUUUGCAAGUAGUAGGAUGGAUAUAUGUAAAGAAUGUAUGAAGUUCUGUGAGACGAUGGAUAAGCGAGAAUCUUCUGUUUUUUUAUUUGUUUUUCUUUCUUACAUUUGUUCUCUUUUUCCUUUCUAGACUGUAUCAUGUACCUAGUUUGUAUACAUACUGUCUAUUAAAAAUUUCACAGUGUAUUAGUUUGCUGUAAUGCUGUGUAAAUUUUUUGAAUCAAUAAAAUAAAAAAUAAACUCUGUGUAAAAUUUGGUAUGGAGAUUGUUUCAGAGCCGGGGAAGGACAUCAGGAUAGUUUCUAUGAUUCAUCAUCAUUCUACGUCUACGCGUACGAAGUGGAGGGCAGAAACUAGUACUUAAAUAAAUGCAAUAUAAAUAAUAUUACUUAAUUAAGAGGGUAACAUAAAUAAUAACUAGACUUCGAUAGGUACCUAAAACAGUUUUAUAAUAAAUCAGGUUUCGUUGGAGGAAGAGUCCGAAUUUUGAGCAACGAUGCUAUGCGAGAAGUCGCGCAAAACAACGCGAGUUGCGUAUCCUGUACUGGAGGCCAAGACCCACGGUGCUGCUGAUUUACAAAUGAAAAUUUGUGUAAUGAUAUGCAAACGAAACCAGAGGAAUUAAGUGUUCAGCGGAACUGCUCCUGAAAAAAAGAUUGCUGUCAUAAGAGAUGCGGGUAUCUACUUUCAAUAUGUGUGACCAGCCUAUAA